UCUCUGUUAGUAUAUCGGUUAGUACACGCGCCUGUCAUUAUGUGAAUUGUCCGCGCGAAAGCUGGGUUCGACUCCCAGACAGAGAG